GUUGUCCUGAAGGGCGCAUGGUGGAUGCCUUGGCAGACAGUGCCGAUGAAGGACGCGUGGGGCCGCGAUAGUCCUCGGGGAGCCGCCGACAGGGCUUUGAUCCGAGGGUGUCCGAAUGGGGAAACCCGCCAGCCGUCAUGGGCUGGCACCACGGCCUGGCCGUGGGGGGUACGCGGGGAAGUGAAACAUCUCAGUACCCGCAGGAAAGGAUACUCCGUGAGUAGUGGCGAGCGAAAGCGGAACAGGCUAAACCGCGUGCGCGUGAUACCCGUCGGGGGUUGCGCGCGCGGUGUCGUGGGAGCGAGCGUUCCGGUGCCGACGUGCCGGACGGCAGUGACAAAUACCGUGUGUUAGGCGAACCGGGUUGGAUACCGGGCCGGAGAGGGUGAUGGCCCCGUAGCCGGAUGCGCAUGGUCUGCCGGUCUCGUGUCCCGAGUAGCGCGGGCCCCGUGGAAUCCCGCGUGAAUCCGCCCAGACCGUUGGGUAAGCCUAAGUAUGACUGUCUGACCGAUAGCGUACCAGUACCGUGAGGGAAAGGUGAAAAGCACCCCGGGAGGGGAGUGAAAGAGUUCCUGAAACCGUGCGCCUACGAACCGUCGGAGCCCUGCGGCCUUUGGGUCGGGGGUGACGGCGUGCCUAUCGAAAAAUGAGUCUGCGAGUCAGUGGCACGUGGCGAGGCUAACCCGGGUGGGGGAGCCGUAGCGAAGGCGAGUCUUAAAAGGCGUUUGAGUCGCGUGUCCUGGACCCGAAGCGGGAUGAUCUAGCCCUGGUCAGGUUGAAGCGCGGGUAAGACCGCGUGGAGGACCGCACCCACUUAGGUUGAAAACUGAGGGGAUGAACUGGGGCUAGGGGUGAAAGGCCAAUCAAAUUCCGUGAUAGCUGGUUCUCUCCGAAAUGCAUUUAGGUGCAGCGUCGGUUCAUUGCGUCCGGGGGGUAGAGCUACUGGAUGCUUGCGGGCCCGUAUCGGGUACCAAUAGCAGCCAAACUCCGAAUACCCGUGACGUGUAUUCCGGCAGUGAGUCGGCGGGGGAUAAGCUCCGUCGUCGAGAGGGAGACAGCCCAGAUCGUCGUCUAAGGUCCCCAAGCGCGUGCUAAGUGGGAAAGGAUGUGGAGUCGCAUAGACAGCCAGGAGGUUGGCUCAGAAGCAGCCAUCCUUGAAAGAGUGCGUAACAGCUCACUGGUCUAGUGGUUCCGCGCCGACAAUGUAGCGGGGCUCAAGCACGCCACCGAAGACGCGGAAACGUGUUGUGCACGUUUGGUAGGAGAGCGUCCCAUGCCGGGUCGAAGCGGCCGCGCAAGCGCGCCGUGGACUGCAUGGGAGCGAGAAUGCAGACAUGAGUAGCGAGAGCGGGGUGAGGAUCCCCGCCGCUGGAUGACCAAGGGUUCCAGGGCCACGUUCGUCGUCCCUGGGUGAGUCGGGUCCUAAGGCGAGGCCGACAGGCGUAGUCGAAUGGACGAACGGGUUGAUAUUCCCGUACCGGCACGGAACCGGCAGGCCGAUAGUCGUCUUGAAACCGCUUCCGGCGGGGAGCCCCGUUCCUUCGGGAAUGGUGGUGACUCGCCGGUCGCGUGCGGAUGGCGGCGUGUAGGCGAGCGCGUGGAGUGACGCGGAUGGGUAGCCGGCCGCGGAGGUGGUUUUCCGUGGUCAAGCAUGCGGCCCGUCCCCCAGGCAAAUCCGGGGGACAUGUGGGCGAGGUGCGAUGAUGGGCGCCUUGAUGGCGCGAUAUCCGGUGAUCCCGUCGGCCGAGAAAAGCUUCGGCGCGAGGGUCCGUUGCCGCCCGUACCCGAAACCGACACAGGUGGUCAGGUAGAGCAUACCAAGGCGAUCGAGCGAAUCCUGGUCAAGGAACUCGGCAAAUUGCUCCCGUGCCUUCGGCAUAAGGGAGACCCCCCGGGGUGAGGGAACUCGCUUCCGGAGCUCCGGGGGGUGGCACAGGCCAGGGGGUAGCGACUGUUUACCAAAAACACAGGUGCAUGCGAAGACGCAAGUCGCGGUAUAUGCACUGACGCCUGCCCGGUGCCGGAAGGUUAAGAGGAUCCGUCAGCCACUUGGUGGCGAAGCGGUGAAUUCAAGCCCCGGUAAACGGCGGUGGUAACUAUAACCAUCCUAAGGUAGCGAAAUUCCUUGUCGGGUAAGUUCCGACCUGCACGAAUGGCGUAACGACUUCCCCACUGUCUCGACCAGGAGCUCGGCGAAAUUGCAGUACGAGUAAAGAUGCUCGUUAAGCGCAGAAGGACGAAAAGACCCCGGGACCUUUACUAUACCUUGGUAUUGGCAUCAGGUGCGGAUUGUGUAGCAUAGGCGGGAGACUGUGAGGCGCGCGCGCCAGCGUGCGCGGAGUCGCAAGGUGAAAUACCGCUCUGUCCCCAUCUGGCGUCUAACCUCGACGAGUGAUCCUCGUCAGGGACAGUGCCUGGCGGGUAGUUUAACUGGGGCGGUUGCCUCCCAAAGAGUAACGGAGGCGCUCAAAGGUUCCCUCGGCCCGGUUGGCAAUCGGGUGUCGAGUGUAAUCGCACAAGGGAGCUUGACUGCGAGAGCGACGGCUCGAGCAGGGACGAAAGUCGGAGAUAGUGAUCCGGUGCCGGCGUACGGACGCGGCAUCGCUCAACGGAUAAAAGGUACCCCGGGGAUAACAGGCUGAUCAUUCCCAAGAGUCCAUAUCGACGGGAUGGUUUGGCACCUCGAUGUCGGCUCGUCGCAUCCUGGGGCUGGAGCAGGUCCCAAGGGUUCGGCUGUUCGCCGAUCAAAGCGGCACGCGAGCUGGGUUCAGAACGUCGUGAGACAGUUUGGUCUCUAUCCUCUGCGCUCGUUGGAAUCUUGAGGAGGCCUGCCCAUAGUACGAGAGGACCUGGGUGGACGAACCUCUGGUAUGCCUGUUGUCCCGCCAGGGGCAUGGCAGGUUGGCUACGUUCGGGAGGGAUAACCGCUGAAAGCAUCUAAGCGGGAAGCCCGCUCCAAGAUAAGGAUUCCGUAGGCCCUUCGAGGCCUUGUAGACCCCAUGCCAGAACACGUGGUUGAUAGGCCGGACGUGGAAGCCCCGCGAGGGGUGGAGCUGACCGGUACUAACGGUCGAUGGCAACCAACA
rnacentral:rRNA from 1 species